GCUAGAGUUCGCCAAGGGAAUAAUACUAGAUCAUUGUGUCAUCUGGAGAAUAUCUUCUCGAGGGUUAGGGUUAGGUUUAUAAAUUACAUGUCAAACGUACAAAUUGAAGCUGUAACAACGGUGGAUUGUGGCUAAAACUAUUCUGAAGGGUUAGGGUUAGAUUUGUGGGUAUAAAUGUAACCGGGGGGUGUAAAUUCUCAAUAAAAACUAAGGUGGUUAGUUUUUAAACCUUUAUUAAAAACCCUGAAAUAUAUAUACGUUAAAAUUAAUAUACAUAUCACAGUAACAGUUGAGUACAAUAAAAUAAUAGUAAGGCAUGCAUAUUGGUACUCAAUGAAAUAUAUCAAUAAUUUAUACACUAAAAUACAUCACUAAUUAAAUUAAACAUAUUAAAAAGGCCUUAAGUUUAUACUAAAUAUAAUAUAAGUAAUUGAUAACAUACCCAAAGAAGGGGUUUUUAAAUAAGACUAUCAAGAUGGUGAACAAAAUCUUCAGAUAACUAUAUUCUGGAAAAUAACAUUAUUCUGAUUAUACAUACAAUAUACUUUCAAAACGGUACCUUAUAAUCUACUAUAUAUAUGUAUAUAUGAAAAACUAAUGAUCUUUACAUGUUAUUUUCUAUCUAUUUAAAUAAAAUGGUUGCUUAAUAUUACAAUUUCUAUCAUUCCUACAUCCGCUCCAUCUAAACCCCAAUUACCCAAAAUAAGAGAAUUAGCACACAUACCUGUAAUACUGAAGUAGUAUAACUGGAACAAUUCUCUGAAAAUAUCCUAACUAGAUUUGGAAAAUAAAGUUAAACAAUUUGAUUGAAGAUAUCAAAUUGUCCUUACACUUCGAAAUCUAUCUAAUGUCUGAUGUCUAAAGUGAGGUUCAGAUAAAAAGAAAACUUGCUUGUAACCAAGGGAGUAGAAUUGUACUCACCCCAAGAUUUGGGCUCUAAGAAAACAGUACAGGUUAACAAGCCAAGUAAAAGGAGAGAUGUUAUUAUAGACCAGUUGCAAUUAAAAUUAGUGUCAGUUUGUUAGUUUAAAGGUGCACUCACUCAAUACACUAUAUUACUUGACAUAAUAAAACCUAUAAACAUAUUAAAAUUCCGCUUCGCUACAUAAACACUGACAGAUAUUCUACAGAUCGGUCAAGAUCCAGUUAUCGGUUUGCAGUAGAGGUUUUGGAAAUCUCGUUAAAAAAUCAACAGUAAAAAAAUAUUUUGAGAAAAAAAAAUGGAUAUGAUAUAUAAAACAAACUGAACAAGUUGGAUCAGGAAAGACUAUCACAAUGCCUAGAAGAAAAAGGAGCAAAUGGAUUAAAAAUUUACAACAACAUUGGUGUAAAUGGCGUGAUAGCAUUGCAAAUGAACCCCUUCCUGAUUCAACAAAUGAACCCCUUCCUGAUUCAACAAAUGAACCCCUUCCUGGAUCACAAGAUCAACCUGGAUCACGAGUUGAACCCCUUCCGGGAUCAAUAGAUGAACCCUUUCCUGGAUCACGAGAUGAACCCCUUCCGGGAUCACCGGAUCAACCCCGUCCUGCUUCAAGAGAUCAACUGGAAACUAAUAAUGUUAAAACAUUCCAUCAUUGUGUUUUUUGUGAUGAGAUUUUUAAAGAGUACAGUGAUCUAGAUCUUCACUAUGAACUACACGUGAACAAGAAGAUCCAUGUUGAAGGAGAAAAAAUUGACAGUAUCGUAAAACACUGCAAAAGACAUGUUAAAACGGGGCAAAUUGCUAAUGUUGUAAAACACCGCAAAAGACAUGUUAAAACGGGGCAAAUUGCUAAUGUUGUAAAACUCCGCAAAAGACAUGUUAAAAAAGACGAUAUUGAUAAUGCGGUAAAACUCUGCAAAAGACAUGUUCAAGAAGAAAAAAUUGAUGUGGAAAAACUUCACAAGAAACAUGUUAAAGGAAAAAAAAAUUGAUGUGGAAAAACUUCACAAGAAACAUGUUAAAGAAGAGGAAAUUGAUAACUUGAAUUAUUUUCAGUGUAACUUGUGUGAAAGAAAAUUUGAUUUAUACCCUGAUUUAGAAGAACAUUGUAAAAUACAUAUGGAAUAUGAAGAAUCUCCUAUCAUAGGACAAAAUGUUAAAGAAAGCGAAUCUAUUGCAAGUACUUUAUAUCAAUGUACAUUAUGUCAAAUUUGCUUUGAGCAAUAUUUUCACCUGGAAGAACAUUGUAAACUUCAUGGAUAUCAAUGUACAGGCAGAGUUAGGUCUUCCAUUAGAUUCAAAAGAAAAUACAUCCAAAACAGUUUUCUGUGAACACUGUGGGAUUCUUCAGAAGCAGAUAACAGAAUUAGAAGCGAAGCUGGAUAAAGCCAACAAUAAAUUGGAAGAUAGUCGAUAUGUUGAUAUACCUGUCAAUACCUACACAGACACCGUAUUGCCCUGAGCCUGUAGAGUUAAUAAAAGAGCAGCAGAGAAAUAUAAAAUGAUUGAACUCUGUCAUGGGUAUGGUGUGUUCAUAUAUCCAUCAGAUCUCGUCCACGUCAAGAAAUUAUUCGAGAAAACAAAGAGUGGACAAUCCGUGACUCGUCACCUUCUGAGCGUCAUGUUUACAAAAGAAAAGCUAUGUUUCGGUUCAGUAUCAAAAGAUCCUAAACCUGGUCUGAUGUCAUUGGAUGCAACCGUAGUUCAAGCCAUUAGAGAUUACUGUGUAGCAAUGUCAAAGGACAAGAACGUGGCCAUUAAUCAAGCUCUUCACAACAAAUUAACCACGUACAGAUAUAAGGCGAGGUGUAGGGCAACAAGUCCUGAAUACUGAUCAUUGACAGUGCUUAUCUAGAUGAAAUUAUGGAUGACGAAACCCCCGUGCUUAUUGAAGGAGUCAAGUCGCUAACUAACUCAAUAUCAUCCAGUCUUCGACAAUGCAAACAGAAACGAUUGAUGUUUCAGUCAAAAUGAAAAUAUUAACAUUGGCACUUGAAUCGCGUGUAGAAUGCUUCGGGUACCAUUUGCAUUAAGGGACUCGAUGAAGGAGACUAAAUAUAUCCCACGUAGAAGAUUAUCACCUUUUAAAUUCAGACCCUUCGCGUAUUUUGCCAAACAUAACUGAUUAUAAAUUACAGUAUGAUAGAAACGAUUGAAUGUAAAUCAGGUUAUAUAUAUUCAUAAUACAUUAUUAUGUGUUGCGACCUAUUUGUGUCCAUUACUGGGUGCCACAGAAUAGAGAUUUAGCUCUUUCUGGGUUGAUUGCUUAUUAUAUUCAAAUACUAGAUUGGUGGGGAAAACCCGUUCUUAUUUAAUCAAGAUGCUGAGUUGGUGGAGAGAUUUAAGGCCAAGAGUAGCGGAAAGAUAUCAGUAGAAUAUACCACAAGUUCCAAAUACCGAUUAUUGAUAGUACUUUUAUUGCUGGGUUUGUGGGGGAAACACCGGAUUGUUUAGUUAAAGUGCUGGAUGGUGGGGGAUACCCCGUGAUUAUUUAAUAAAUAUACUGGGUUGGCGGGGAACCCCGGGCUUGUUUAGUUAAAAUAUUGGGUUGGUGGGGAAAUCCCGGGCCUGUUUAGUUAAAAUACUGGGUUGUUGAGGAAAAUAAAUUUAUCUUUAAAUUGAAUCCGACCUCUGUUUUAUUGUCUCUGAAACAUUCCCACCGCGGCGCCCUAACCUAACCAGGCGGUGUGGCGUGUUUCAUUGACUUGAAGACCAUGAUAAAAGUGACCGUAAAUAUAAAAGUAAAUAUAAAAGUAAACAUAAUCAAUCGCUGUUUUAAUGAAAUGCAAAUAUGCUUGUUUUUGUUCAGUUAAUAUCGAUGUGAUUCAUGAUGUCAUAAAUCAACCUCUUCUAUGUACCAGUUUGCAUACAUGAAAUAAAAGGGAGUAAAAUGAGA